CCCCCCACACUCAGAACUUUCCAGCUAGACUUAGGGAAGAAUAUCUCUGUGAGAAAGGCUACCAGGAGAGAAGGCAAAGCCUGGGCAGGCUGCUGCUGUGUGCGGCCAGUAACUAACUGAGAACUGAGCACGCUCAAGCCACACCAGGAAGUCCAUCACCCAGGUCCAGAAGUAAGUGAUACAGCCUCGGGCUAUCUGUUAAUUUUUUUUUCCUAGAGAGAGAGGGGCAAUAGUUCUGGGGGAUGUUUGAGUAACUAGCUUUGCACAGAUUAUAGGACACAUUACUUUCCCUUUAAAGGCAAGGAGACUAAGGUUUAAGAGAACCUAGUGGGACCUGCCCGAUCCAGACUCCUGCUCUUGGUUGCCUCUGCAACCAGAACCUGGUGAAUCACUUCUAACUCAUCUUUUCUGAGCUCCAUUAGCAUGCUCUUCUUGGGUGACGCAGCCUUCUCUGUAUCCUCCACACCCUCCCCACAAGCACCAAUGUCUAUGACCCAAACUCUUCGAGUGGUUGCAUGUGCUGUAUGUACCCCAUGUCUGGAUCACCCUGAUUCUGUUACCCCAAACAUAUUAAAAUCUCACCUGGAAAGCUAUCCCCAACCCUCCACAGCCCGGUUACGGCUUCUGCUUUGGAGUUUCCGGGUCUGUUUCAUACCCUCAGCUUGUCCCACGGCACACGUGGUCGGAGGACUUAAUUUAGGAUGAACCAAAGACGUGGCAGCAGCGACGUUCAAGUUCCACGGGCAUACUUUGCUGAUCUCAGGAGACCCUAACUGUGGACCCACGGAAGACUCGCCUGGGAGCCCCUGCGUCCCGCAAAGGUCACGGAGACCCGCCUUUGUCACCAUUGUUCCCCAGCGGCACGGAACAACCGGGUGACACGGGGUUGAAGAGGGUUAAGGACAGGCCACGGUCUGUGAACGCUGCUGGCCCCUCCCCACCGGCGGCUCCCCAAGUUCCCCGCCGCCGCGCGCGCCCGGGUCCCCGCGCAUCAGUCGUUUGAAUCUCCCGCCACGGAGCGGAGUGCGCGCCCCAAGCGCGACGGCUAAGGGGCCCGAGCGCCGGCGAGGCGGGGCCCACGCGGGCCGGAGCUCGUGCGCCUGGAGCGCCGCCGGCUUCACGUGCAGCCCGCCAUGUAGGUUGCGAUCUCGGCCUACCACGACCUCGCGCACCUCCGGGUUUCCCGUCCCCAGGGCUCCCUACGAACCGGAGCGCGACCUACCUCGGGACAGGGCGGCCACAAGCAACUCCGGCGCUCGGCGGCCGGCGGUGAACUGCCCCGAGCAUGCGCUCUGCGGGCCUCCGGCCGCGACCCUGGCCAGAAGGGAAAACACAGAGCCGGGCGGCCCCUGGCGGCCACCGCGGGAAGUGCGAGCGGCUGCUCCUAGUUUGUACACAGCAUUCUGUACUUGGGAGAUUUCCUCCCCAAAGUGGGAUGAGUGGACAAAUAACCAACUGGAGGAACUACUAGAAUUCCUGUUUGUUUAGGAAAAUCUGGUGCGUGAGGUCUGCACGGAACAAAACAAGGCUGAUGGUUCUUGUUUUCAAAUUAUAUAUGCAGAAGGCUCAAAAGACCCCAAUCUAUACAGAGCCAUCUGAUUCAGUCUAGGUAGGGCUCAGGAACGGCUAAUUAGUCUAAGUGGAAGAGGCAUUCAGGAUGAAUAACAUUUCCUUAUUUAUUAUAUGUAUGAGUGCUUUUCAUGUAGGUACAUCUGUGUACCACGUAUGUAUACAGUUCAAAGGCCAGAAAGAGAGCAUUGGUUGCAGUAGAACUGGCGUUACAAAUGGAUGCGACCUGCCAUGUAUGUGCUAGAAUGGGAUUCCCAUCUUCUGCAUGAGCAACAAGCACCCUUAACCACUGAGCCAUCUUUCCUGUCCCAGAGAGGUGACAUUUGCAAUGACAGAGAGUAAGACAUGUGAAACUGCCAUAUAGUCUGAAAGUAGAGGGUAAAGGUCUAGUCUACGGGGACAGUGUGUGAUUAUGGGAAGGUUCUGCUCACAAGAUGAAAUGUUCACAACUUUAAUGGACUUUGGGUAAAGUGUAACCAAGAAUGGAGAGGCAAAGAGCAAGCAGGAAGUAGAUUCGGUAAUGCCUGGGUUGGUGGCACCGCCUACAAUCCCAUCAUUCCAGAAGCUGAGGCAGGAGGGAUACAUAGUGAGAUUCUAUCCCAUAAAGAAAGAAGAAGAAGAAGG
rnacentral:lncRNA from 1 species